rnacentral:rRNA from 1 species
UACGGGGGGGGCAAGCGUUGUUCGGAAUUACUGGGCGUAAAGGGCGCGUAGGCGGUCCUUCAAGUCAGGCGUGAAAGCCCCGGGCUCAACCUGGGAACCGCGCUUGAGACUGGAAAACUAGAGUUCGGGAGAGGAUGGUGGAAUUCCCAGUGUAGAGGUGAAAUUCGUAGAUAUUGGGAAGAACACCGAUGGCGAAGGCAGCCAUCUGGACCGACACUGACGCUGAGGCGCGAAAGCGUGGGGAGCAAACAGG